rnacentral:rRNA from 1 species
GAAUAUUGGGCAAUGGGCGCAAGCCUGACCCAGCCAUGCCGCGUGCAGGAAGACGGCCUUCUGGGUUGUAAACUGCUUUUGAACGGGAACAAAAGUCUCUUGCGAGAGGUAAUGAGUGUACCGUUAGAAUAAGCACCGGCUAACUCCGUUCCAGCAGCCGCGGUAAUACGGAGGGUGCAAGCGUUGUCCGGAUUUAUUGGGUUUAAAGGGUGCGUAGGCGGCCAGAUAAGUCAGUGGUGAAAUCCUAUAGCUUAACUAUAGCAUUGCCAUUGAUACUGUUUGGCUUGAGUACAGACGAGGUAGGCGGAAUUGAUAGUGUAGCGGUGAAAUGCAUAGAUACUAUCAAGAACACCGAUUGCGAAGGCAGCUUACUAGGCUGUAACUGACGCUGAGGCACGAAAGCGUGGGGAUCAAAC